UGGAGGAACUGAGGAAGCAGGAGAGAGUUAGGUCCUUUUGGACAGGAUUAGCAUGAGGACAAGAAGUAGCUACGAGUUUCUCCCGAUUUCAAAACCACAUCCUUCAGGAUUCAACACCUGAGUAUUUAGAUUUAAUAAAGCUUACAGUAAGAUUAGGCUUUUAGUUGCUACACCCAGCAAUUGAGUUACCAUCAUUUCUGAACUAAGUUUGGAUUGUGUUUUUCUUCACACGACGGCUGGUCCAGGUUCAAGAGAGAAAGUCGCAGGACUGUGCAAAGACAAGUGGAUCCCUGGACACCAUGUCUCAAAAAACAAGUUCUGGGAGAUUCCUAUGAAGGAUCGAAGGACACCACAGAAGCCUCAACACAGAGAUGCUGACAUUCAACAACAUGGCCCCUAAUCUUGCUCUGGAGGACUGAAAAUGCCUGGAUUCCUGGCGAAAUUUGUAUGAUGAUGGGAUACUUGAAAGCUGUAGAAAUAUUGUCUUUCUGGUUUGCUCCCUGGAGAGAAAUGACUGAAUGAAGAAAUGGUAAAACAGAUGACUUCCUCCAUUGAAAGAGACAUGACAUCCAAGACUCUGCCUCUGUGGAAAAGGCUCUGUUGGGUCUUGCUUUCUAUAAGCCACACCUGAUCUCAUUUCUGGUCAAAGAAAGAUUUGUUGGACACACAAGGAACUAAACUGUAAUGUGGAGGUAGCACACUCAGUAGUUGAUGCUCUUCAAGUGGCCAUUCUCUGCAUAGCAGGAAGUCAUCAUGGACGGGUAGGAACAGUUUCUAAAGUUUUCUCCAUCGCGGAUUCAGUCACUUUAGCCCGGUUUCCCGCAGUUGAGUGAGAUGAGAAAGAUCUCCUUGGACAGACAGGCACGGGACUCAUCCUGAUGCUCUGGGGGGAGCAGGCGAUGGCCAAGAAACUGGACUGCAAGGAGCUCCUGCACAUGGGACCAGCACCGCUGCUACUCGACAGUGAUACACUUUUAAUUAAACAUAGGCAUCCAUUCCCAGAGCUAAGUAUUCAACAUCAUGGGCCAUCCUUAGAGAAACAAGAACAUUCAAUACACCAAGUGUCCAAAGGUUUCAUAAAGAGA
rnacentral:lncRNA from 1 species